rnacentral:lncRNA from 1 species
UCAAAAUAAAUAACAAAAAAGUCUUUUAAACUUUAACAAAACUACAAAAGAAAUAAAUUGGGUGAACAAAACCAAAGUAUAUAAAAAAAGUUCCGGUUCCUUUCAAAGUUUCAAUUACAAGAAAUAACAAUAUCAUUCCGCUUCCAUCACUGAAGAACUUCGAUUGAAAUCAAAACUUUUUUUUUUUUUUACCUUGUGAAGGCGAUCGAGAGUGAAGGAAAGGAGCUCUCGAUGACAGCCACUCAGUUUUGACCCUCUGGGACCUCCUCUUCCAUGCUUGCGUUGCGACUAUGGGCUCUCACUGGCAUAAUCAUCAAGAUUCAAGCAAUUACCCAAGCCACUUUUUCGUACAAGUCUAUAAGAGAGCAAGCUUCAAGCUCUCUCCACCCUUCCCAAAAGUUCAAUAAUCUCAAACACCACCUGUAAAAGCCAGAAAUGGAUCUUCAGUUCAGGUCAGAAAACCGACAGCCAUCUAAACUAAGCAGAAAACGGCUAACCCAAGAUCAGGUCAGGCUCUUGGAGACAUGCUUCAAUGCAAACCAAAAGCUCCAAGUAGACCGUAAACUUGGUGACGACUGACGAGCGGCGGCGGCGACGAGCAGAGGGGACAGAAGUGUGGCUGAAGGUCACGACUCGAGCCUGUGGCUGAAGGUCACGACGAGCAGCGGUGGGUUUUUGCUUUUGGCUGAAGGUCAUGACGAGCAGCGGGAACAGAACUACAAAAGAAGACAGAAGUGUUUAGAUUUAGAUUUUAGCUUUAGGGUUUUUUUACAAUCGGUUUAUUUGAGAUUCUGGUUCAAUUUUUUGUUUUUUUUAAAAAAUAAACCGAAAAUGGAACCGAUUAGUUUUAUUACUUGUACUAUAUUACUAUUUCGGUUCGGUUCGGUUCUGUUUUUUAUUAAUCAGCUUUUUUGCUCACUCUUAAUGCGAUCCAAUUUAAG